AUGGAACAAGAUAGUUACUGGAAAAUGAUGCAAAAGUAUGUUGGCUCUGAUAUCACAUCAAUGGUGACACUUUCGGUUAUCAUUUUUCAGCCAAUGACGAUGAUACAAAAAAUGACUGAGGUUGCUGUUAAAAGGUUGAAAAGAAAAUUUUGUUUUUGGGAAGAAUACACAAAUUUAAGAGAAUUCAAGAACAACUUGGCGGUGCAUGAGGUUUUAUGUUUCUUUGGUUAG